rnacentral:rRNA from 1 species
GUCCAGACUCCUACGGGAGGCAGCAGUGGGGAAUAUUGCACAAUGGGGGAAACCCUGAUGCAGCGACGCCGCGUGAGCGAAGAAGUACCUGGGUAUGUAAAGCUCUAUCAGUAGGGAAGAAGAUGACGGUACCUGACCAAGAAGCUCCGGCUAAAUACGUGCCAGCAGCCGCGGUAAUACGUAUGGAGCAAGCGUUAUCCGGAUUUACUGGGUGUAAAGGGAGCGCAGGCGGCCUUGCAAGUCUGAUGUGAAAGGCCGGGGCGCAACCCCGGGACUGCAUUGGAAACUGCGAGGCUGGAGUGUCGGAGAGGCAGGCGGAAUUCCUAGUGUAGCGGUGAAAUGCGUAGAUAUUAGGAGGAACACCAGUGGCGAAGGCGGCCUGCUGGACGAUGACUGACGCUGAGGCUCGAAAGCGUGGGGAGCAAACAGGAUUAGAUACCCCGGUACA